rnacentral:lncRNA from 10 species
CAACCAGGCUAGAGUGCACUGGGACUAAUGACCCAGAAUCUUGGCACAGCAAUGGCAAUUUCCCAGCAUACUCCUUCAUUUCUGCAGAGCACUGAUUGUUGGAGUACUUUUAAUGAAGUCCAUUAUCAUUUUGGCAGUUCAACAAGACUUCCAGGAGAGAAACAGAGAGCGUGGUUUGGAACAAACACAUCCUUGAGCUGUUUUCUAUUAUUCAUACAGGCUACUCAGCAUUUUUUUUGAAGAAAACUAUAUUAGAGUAAAAAUUAAUUGCUAUAUUAAUACAUCACUCUUAACAGGUGUAGCUCUGUGGUGUCUGGAAGCUAAUAAGCUAACUUUCUGAGUGGCAUAUUUUUUGGGAAUCCCUUAGGUCUCCCCUCAAUGCAAAAGAUACACACAGAGAGCUAGAGUCAAUGCUGGAGUGCAAAAGGAGAAGCUUUUUGUGGUCUCUGAGGGCUCAUUUAUCUUCAUAUCCCCAUUGCCUACAUAGUACCAAGCACUCUGAAUCAACUUUAAUUGCACUUACUUCCAUUUGUAAUCAUGUUUCUAUUUUUGCUUAUGUGGUUGAUAUCAUGAAGACAAGGAUCACGUGCAUUUUGCUAUGUAUCUGUAUGCCCUCUGCCUCACAAAAUGACUUGCCCAUGGCUGUCCUUCAAUAAAUAGAUGACCACUAACCAUGUAGUGAAUAAAUACAAUUCACUUGCCUGAGUAUCAUUUAUGAAAGUCAUACAUUUUUUAUUUCAAAAUGAAGUUUACCCAAUAUUGAUCCUGUGGUAGCAAGAAAAAUCCUCUGGCCAUUUCAGGCAGACUAAAAUUAUGGUCCUAUUUU